rnacentral:rRNA from 1 species
UAAUACGGAGGAUGCGAGCGUUAUCCGGAUUUAUUGGGUUUAAAGGGUGCGUAGGCGGAAUAAUAAGUCAGUGGUGAAACCCUGCAGCUUAACUGUAGACUUGCCAUUGAUACUGUUUUUCUUGAGUAUGGUCAAGGCAGGCGGAAUGUGUAAUGUAGCGGUGAAAUGCUUAGAUAUUACACAGAACACCGAUAGCGAAGGCAGCUUGCUGGGCCGUUACUGACGCUGAUGCACGAAAGCGUGGGGAUCGAACAGG